UACGGAGGGUGCAAGCGUUGUCCGGAUUCACUGGGUUUAAAGGGUGCGUAGGUGGGUUGGUAAGUCAGUGGUGAAAUCUCCAGGCUUAACUUGGAAACUGCCAUUGAUACUAUCAAUCUUGAAUACCGUGGAGGUCAGCGGAAUAUGUCAUGUAGCGGUGAAAUGCUUAGAUAUGACAUAGAACACCAAUUGCGAAGGCAGCUGGCUACACGAAUAUUGACACUGAUGCACGAAAGCGUGGGGAUCAAACAGG
rnacentral:rRNA from 1 species